rnacentral:misc_RNA from 1 species
UUAACUAUUAUAUAGUACUCAGACAGUAUAGACAAACAGAGUUUAGGUCCUCUGGCAAGCGCUCGCCGGCCGGAGCCAGCAGCCCGAGGGCAGGCUUGCCAAAGCAACAAAGUGUAAUAAACAAAGGGUGGUAGGUUACCCAGGAGGCCUUGCGGCAACCUGGGUGACUACUGUAAUGAUCCUUCCGCAGGUUCACCUACGGAAA